rnacentral:lncRNA from 1 species
UCUUUUCUUAGGGUCUCUUCCAAAGUUUUCCUAGGUCUUCCUCUACCCCUUUGGCCCUGAACCUCUAUCCCGUAGUCACAUCUUUUAACCGGAGCGUCAGGAGGCCUUCUUUGCACAUGUCCAAACCCAUUUUGUGUACGUGUUGAUGCUUCACCGCCCAACAUUCUGUGCCAUACAGCAUCGCCGACCUUAUUGCCGUCCUAUAAAAUUUUCCCUUGAGCUUCAGUGGCCUACGACGGUCACACAACACGCCGGAUACACUCUUCCAC